ACCCUCUCAGGGUCGCAUCUGGAGAGUUUCCAGUCCUCUACCAGCCUCGGCUACGGGAGGGAAAGUGAAGCAGAGGCCUGUCUAUUCCAUUUCUAGCUUGGCCAGUGGCUAGUGAGUGGCAGGCAACCUGCUACAAGU